UACGAAGGGAGCUAGCGUUGUUCGGAAUUACUGGGCGUAAAGGGCGCGUAGGCGGUUUUAUAAGUCAGAUGUGAAAUCCCCGGGCUUAACCUGGGAACUGCAUUUGUGACUGCAUGGCUGGAGUGCGGCAGAGGGGGAUGGAAUUCCGCGUGUAGCAGUGAAAUGCGUAGAUAUGCGGAGGAACACCGAUGGCGAAGGCAAUCCCCUGGGCCUGCACUGACGCUCAUGCACGAAAGCGUGGGGAGCAAACAGG
rnacentral:rRNA from 1 species